UCACCAGAUGUCACAUGUCACCGGAUUUACACUUAAAUUCAAGGUAUAUUAUUACAAAUGGGUAUUUCCAGAGAUGUAAGGUGUACCUUCAAAACACCAAGCCCUGUUCUCACAACCACCUCACUUACACUCUGACUUGGGAAGUAACUGCAAUACACACGUUUUGUUGAUUACUCAUUGGAGCAUGUCAAAAGAGCCAACAUGAUGGUUAUGAUGUAGCUGAUCAUUAGCCGUAUUACAGAUUACAUUUUCUAGCCCUUAGCCUUAAAAUCGUUGGGUGUCCAUUAAGUAUUUGUUUAUUCUGAACAUUACAAAAAUGUAUGCAGCGGUUUAAGGCACAUUUCCAAGACUUCAAUGUUGCCUAGCAUGUGGAAAGUUUAAGUAAUGCACAGUUCUGAAAAUUCUGCCCAAAACAUCACCUGAAUUGUCAAAACCAGCAGUUAACACAGCCUGCUCUCUUCUAGUUUACAUAAUUGAACAAAACUUAUUUGUUCCAAAGUCACUGUAGAAACAUCAGCCUGUUGGAAGACAUGGAAUACAAACACUGACUUUUUCCUCCUAGUUGCCUAAUAAAUUCCCACUAAUGGCCUGCAGAUUAGUAUGUGAUUGCCAUGCUUGCUUUCUAAUCUUUUUAUAGGUCUCUAGACAGCUGUGACAUAAAGAAGAAAUAUCCUGCAUGGAUUUUUUAAGAAUAAACAGUCUCUACUGACUUUAAAGGGGAAUGCUUAUGAUUCUCUAAUUAUUGCAAUCAGACCCCCAUCCUAUCUCCAGCAUCCCCACCUUCUGUGUGGAAGACACACAGGAAUGUGUCUUAAGCUGCUGUGAGGUACCUAAGAGGGCGCAGUGUUACAUAAAUUCCAUUUUCAUACUAAAUUAUGGCAGAAUUCAUGUACAGUCAAACCACCAUGGCAUGCCAGUACAGCCCAGUCCAAUUCUCCUUGUAGAGCAGCAUCCCUUUCCUCCCAGCCAGGGAGCAACAGUGUUCUUGGAUGUUACAAUGAAGCAGUUUCACCUGCUCCACGGACUGGUGUGGACUGGGGUCGUUGAAGGAUUUUGACCACUUUUUUGGUGGAUAGAGAGGUGCAAGGGGACACUCCUGGGCCAUGGUGAGCAGCCGGGCUGCACCCUUCUGCCAGGUACGCUCCUGAGCUGAGCCAUUUUGGCCAGGAUGGAUUUGGAGAACCCGGGAAGUGAUGGCUGCUUGUUCCGAGUGAUCCACUACGUGGAAGGCGCUGGAUGAACAAACUGCUGCGAGCAAUCCCUUCCACCUCGACCAGCUGCAAGAUAUGCCUCCAACUUCUCUCCUUCCCCCUCCUUUUUUUUUCUGCCCAUUUCCCUCCCCCCUUUAUGUUUUUUUCUUCAAUUUUUUUUUAAGUUUUUUAUUGUUGUUGUUUGGUUGUUUUUUUAAGCUCAACUAUGUAAAGGCCUGUUAUACUUCA